GACGAACGCUGGCGGCGUGCUUAACACAUGCCAGUCGAACGGAAAGGCCUCUUUCGGGGGGUACUCGAGUGGCGAACGGGUGAGUAACACGUGAGUAACCUGCCCUUGACUUUGGGAUAACUUCAGGAAACUGGGGCUAAUACCGGAUAGGAGCUCCUGCUGCAUGGUGGGGGUUGGAAAGUUUCGGCGGUUGGGGAUGGACUCGCGGCUUAUCAGCUUGUUGGUGGGGUAGUGGCUUACCAAGGCUUUGACGGGUAGCCGGCCUGAGAGGGUGACCGGCCACAGUGGGACUGAGAUACGGCCCAGACUCCUACGGGAGGCAGCAGUGGGGAAUAUUGCACAAUGGGUGGAAGCCUGAUGCAGCAACGCCGUGUGCGGGAGGACGGCCUUCGGGUUGUAAACCGCUUUCGCUCAUGACGAAGCUUUGUGUGACGGUAGUGGGUAAAGAAGCACCGGCUAACUACGUG
rnacentral:rRNA from 1 species